rnacentral:rRNA from 1 species
GAAAUCUGGCGUCCUCAGGGCGUCCGAGUUGUAAUCUAUAGAGGCGUUUUCCGUGCCGGACCGUGUCCAAGUUCCUUGGAACAGGAUAUCAAAGAGGGUGACAAUCCCGUACUUGACACGACGACCGGUGCUCUGUGAUACGUCUUCUACGAGUCGAGUUGUUUGGGAAUGCAGCUCAAAAUGGGUGGUGAGUUCCAUCUAAAGCUAAAUAUUGGCGAGAGACCGAUAGCGAACAAGUACCGUGAGGGAAAGAUGAAAAGCACUUUGGAAAGAGAGUUAAACAGUACGUGAAAUUGUUGAAAGGGAAACGAUUGAAGUCAGUCGUGACCGAGAGGCUCAGCCGGUUCUGCCGGUGUAUUCCCCUCGGUCGGGUCAACAUCAGUUUUGUCCGGUGGAUAAGGGCGGUAGGAAGGUGGCACCCUCGGGUGUGUUAUAGCCUGCCGUCGCAUACAUCGGGUGAGACUGAGGAACGCAGCUCGCCUUUAUGGCCGGGGUUCGCCCACGUCCGAGCUUAGGAUGUUGACAUAAUGGCUUUAAACGACCCGUCUUGA